UGUCUUGUCUCUUAUUUCAAUCUCUAGGCCUUUGCCCUAUUAGUGGAACAGAUUGUAGCUUGGGGGCUACAAGUGGAGGUCCGACUGAGAUCGGGAAGAAAGGAUCACCUAAGAGAUCACCCUCAGAGGCCUUCCAGCAAAGCUUUCAUUUGGUGCAUUGACCAGGAAUGGCCGGGAAACCGCGACCACCCCUCUCACCUGAGAACCUGGACUUGGAGGACCUGGCUCUCAUCCUGUCCCACUGCCAGAGAGCAACUGUGGGUCCAUCUUUGGGACUGGAAGACCCAGUGAGACUGUAAAUGCGCGGGUCUCCCACCCCCUGGAGCGUGCCACCACUGCCACUACAGACUCCUGGGCUGCCGGGGUGGGAGGGGCAGAGCCAUGCCAGAAUGGAUGGGCGGGGUUAUGACCCUGCCAAUGUGCAUGUUUGGCUGCCCCCAAUGUUGGGUGGCCAGAUUACAGCCUCCAGUGCUGUGCCUCCGAUCUUUGUAAUUAGGAAACUAGCUCUUUGUAAUUAAAAAACUAACCAC